rnacentral:rRNA from 1 species
UGGGGAAUAUUGCACAAUGGGCGCAAGCCUGAUGCAGCCAUGCCGCGUGUGUGAAGAAGGCCUUCGGGUUGUAAAGCACUUUCAGCGAGGAGGAAGGGUUCAGUGUUAAUAGCACUGUUCAUUGACGUUACUCGCAGAAGAAGCACCGGCUAACUCCGUGCCAGCAGCCGCGGUAAUACGGAGGGUGCAAGCGUUAAUCGGAAUUACUGGGCGUAAAGCGCACGCAGGCGGUUUGUUAAGUCAGAUGUGAAAUCCCCGCGCUUAACGUGGAACUGCAUUU